AUACGUAGGUGGCAAGCGUUGUCCGGAAUUACUGGGUGUAAAGGGUGCGCAGGCGGGAAGGCAAGUUGGAUGUGAAAACUAUGGGCUUAACCCAUAGCCUGCAUCCAAAACUGUUUUUCUUGAGUGGAGUAGAGGCAGGCGGAAUUCCGAGUGUAGCGGUGAAAUGCGUAGAUAUUCGGAGGAACACCAGUGGCGAAGGCGGCCUGCUGGGCUCUAACUGACGCUGAGGCACGAAAGCAUGGGGAGC
rnacentral:rRNA from 1 species